CCCUUUCUGCUUCCUGAUCCUUCCUCUGCACACAUUCUGCCAUCAGAUGCCAGACUAAGGGAACAAUUUGAUCUUGGACUGUGAGCCCCCAAAACUGGGGUGCAUUUGCUUCAAGAUGCUGAAAUUGCAACCGAGACUGGCACCUACUACAGCAGGAGCAGCAUCUCACUUCAGGAGGACCAAUGCCCAUGACCAAAUGAUCAGCACCAGCUCUGACAAGUGGGCAGGACUUGAGCCACAGGACACUGCCUGGAUCCUUUCCUUCAUCCUAAUUUCCCCUUUGACAAAAUGGACAGGUUAACAGUAAGUGCAUACAUAAAAUACCGCAGUGGCACAUCUUACAGUCAAGGGUGUCUGAUAUUCAGUGAAGUAUGAUACGGACAGCCAUGUAGAAUUCUCUGACAAAUGCCCCCAAGGGCAUUUCAAGCUCUCUGCUAUGGCCUGGGAAAGUAGAAGAUGGCCCGAGUGCUUGGACCCCUGCACCCACAUGGGAGACCAGGAAGAAGCUCCUGGCUUCGGAUCAGUACAACUCCAGCUGUUGCAGCCACCUGGGGAGUGAACCAGCGGAUGGAAGACUCUCUCUCUACCUCUGCCUCACUCUAACUCUGCCUUUCAAAUAC